AUUGAACGCUGGCGGCAGGCCUAACACAUGCAAGUCGAACGAGUGGCGGACGGGUGAGUAAUGUCUGGGAAACUGCCUGAUGGAGGGGGAUAACUACUGGAAACGGUAGCUAAUACCGCAUACCAUCGGAUGUGCCCAGUUGGGUUUAGCUUGUUGGUGGGGUAACGGCUCACCAAGGGGACGAUCCCUAGCUGGUCUCAGAGGAUGACAAGCCUACAUGGAGUCUAGAGCCGGGCCAGGUUCCUACGCGAGGCAGCAGUGGGGAAUUUUGGACAAUGGGCGCAAGCCGGCUGCAGCCAUGCAAGGUGUAUGAAGAAGGCCUUCGGGUUGUAAAGUACUUUCAGCGGGGAUGCGUUACCCGCAGAAGAAGCACCGGCUAACUCCGUGCCAGCAGCCGCGGUAAUA
rnacentral:rRNA from 1 species